UGCCAGACUCCUACGGGAGGCAGCAGUGGGGAAUAUUGCACAAUGGGGGAAACCCUGAUGCAGCGACGCCGCGUGAGCGAUGAAGUAUUUCGGUAUGUAAAGCUCUAUCAGCAGGGAAGAAGAUGACGGUACCUGACUAAGAAGCCCCGGCUAACUACGUGCCAGCAGCCGCGGUAAUACGUAGGGGGCAAGCGUUAUCCGGAUUUACUGGGUGUAAAGGGAGCGUAGACGGCUGUGCAAGCCAGAUGUGAAAGCCCGGGGCUCAACCCCGGGACUGCAUUUGGAACUGUGUGGCUGGAGUGUCGGAGAGGCAGGCGGAAUUCCUAGUGUAGUGGUGAAAUGCGUAGAUAUUAGGAGGAACACCAGUGGCGAAGGCGGCCUGCUGGACGAUGACUGACGUUGAGGCUCGAAAGCGUGGGGAGCAAACAGGAUUAGAUACCCGCGUA
rnacentral:rRNA from 1 species